rnacentral:rRNA from 1 species
CACAACAGUCAGCCAAGCUAAGCUUCGCUUCAGUUCUUGCACAGUUCAGCUAUACAUCCUGGGAGGUAGAGGUGAUGAUGGAGUACGAACCACAGAGCUUCUCCUGGCCGGCCGCGCUGGCGUCGUGGCUGGCGAGCUUCUGCUGCGGCUCUGAAGGCGGCAGCCACGGCGAGCCGGUCGCCGGCGACGGCCCGGCCAGGCGGAUGGCCGCGGCUGCCCGGCACCUCAACGGCGCUCACAAGAUUAAGUUCUCCUAGCUAGUUCUUCCAGCUGCUACCUUCUGCUUCACCUACUGGAAAUUAAUAUUUUUCUAGCAAAAAAUGGUUUCCCCUCCGAUUUCAUUAAGAGAAACCACGCAGACCAGUACCAGUUCAGUUCAAAAGCAAAAGAAAAGGAACAAAAAAAGAAGCUAAGGCAAAAGAGGAUUUCACCUACUGGAAUAUACUAUGAUGAUACAAUUAUGAUUCGUGUAGCCACUACGUAGGUUUUCCCUUCUCGCUAUCUGCCGUAGUGUGUGCGAGAGGGGAAUCGUGAUGUAACCCUCUGUGGACUGUGGUGAACUUUCUUUCUUCGGUGCCGAUCGAUCGAUCGAUGGAUCACGAUCCAAAGUUGGAAAUGAUAGGCGUCUCACGUGCCAUGAAGGCGACAGCGCACUCCCAAAGCCCCGAGCUUACAUGCAUGCUUCCCCCCUAAAAAACAGAUCCAUGUUCCGCACAUACAAAUCGAACCGAAAAAUCAAGCGACCAAAACCAAAAUACAUCCAUGAUCGCGCGACCAUUCGGCUGUCUCGCCAACUCCCGAUGGGUGGCGCUGGUUUGGCUGUCUCGGUAACUCUCGCUGUGUCGCAGGAAUGUGAGUGAAUUGCAAAAAA